ensembl:snRNA U4 U4 spliceosomal RNA
AGCUUUGCGCAAUGGCAGUAUCGUAGCCAAUGAGGUUUAUCCAAGGUGCAAUUAUUGCUAAUUGAAAACUUUUCCUAAAAACA